rnacentral:lncRNA from 1 species
UUGUCACACCGGCCCUGACUAAUGGCUGGACAAGGUGCGAUGUUUUGAAAAACAGCAGGGUGACCCGAAUAGGGGUGAAAUCAAGUGUUUGGGUAGCCAGUCGAUGAUGGUAUUCCGUAAAAGAAAGAUUUGUGUAUUACCUAAAUAUUUAAAAUAAAUGUAUUUACCUCUGCA